GAUGAACGCUGGCGGCGCGCCUAAUACAUGCAAGUCGAGCGAACGGACGAGAAGCUUGCUUCUCUGAUGUUAGCGGCGGACGGGUGAGUAACACGUGGAUAACCUACCUAUAAGACUGGGAUAACUUCGGGAAACCGGAGCUAAUACCGGAUAAUAUUUUGAACCGCAUGGUUCAAAAGUGAAAGACGGUCUUGCUGUCACUCAUAGAUGGAUCCGCGCUGCAUUAGCUAGUUGGUAAGGUAACGGCUUACCAAGGCAACGAUGCAUAGCCGACCUGAGAGGGUGAUCGGCCACACUGGAACUGAGACACGGUCCAGACUCCUACGGGAGGCAGCAGUAGGGAAUCUUCCGCAAUGGGCGAAAGCCUGACGGAGCAACGCCGCGUGAGUGAUGAAGGUCUUCGGAUCGUAAAACUCUGUUAUUAGGGAAGAACAUAUGUGUAAGUAACUGUGCACAUCUUGACGGUACCUAAUCAGAAAGCCACGGCUAACUACGUG
rnacentral:rRNA from 1 species